ACCUUCCACCCGAAUGCAGCUGAGAUAGACUCCAGCACCCCCGCAACCCCAAAAGGGACAACCGAUAGGAAAAUGGAUGGGUGGAUGGGUUCUAAAAUGUAGCUAUUGUGGAUUAGGGACUAAACUUAAUGAUUGUAUUGAUGUUAAAAAAUAUACUUGCUGCCAACUUUUUAAGCGACAAUGAAAGUGAAACCAUAUCUCAAAGGGGGGCAUUAAACAAAAGUGAAAGUGAAAUAGGAUUUUGGACCACUCUUGAACGACUUUCGGGUUUUUACGAACAUUUUUAACAGUUUUGUAAUUCUCUUAGCCCCUUUUUCCACGGUUGUAUGGUGUUUCACGGCAGAAGUACUUGAAGUAGUUUUUUUUUUUGGUGCCGAGUCCGGUUCGGUGGUUUACCUAAAGAUGGCCGACACGCAUUGGGAGUCCAUCCAAGCAGGCUUCAUGAAAGAGGAUGAAGAGGACAAGAUGGUGGACAUAUUACAAGAAAGAAGACAGAGUAGUGACCUGGGCCACGCCUUCAGAACCUUCAACCCCCGCCUGUACAAAGGGGCGCCACCGUGCUCUGCCGCCGACCUCAACAAGACUGUGCUGGACUCCCAGGAUGUACUGCGCGUGGUGCAAGAGGUUGCCAUGGAGACCGGUUCGUCACUGGAGGCAGUGACAGAAGAAGCCGCGGGUAUUUUAAAGGAGAUGUCACAAAACCUGCAAAUGGGUUUCAUCCGCCUGAUGGGCUUCAUGCUCAGCAAAGUGCUCAAACGCCUCUACUCCAGCAUCUAUGUCAACAUGGAAGCCCUCCACAUGGUUAAACCUGCACUACUAUCAAAGUUUCAUUUUUUCACUCCGCCAAAGUUGUUCAAAUUUUGUUCUUUGCAGCUGCAGCAGGUGGUUGCCGACACCCCUGUCGUCCUGCUGCCCAAUCACAGGAGCUACACAGACUUCCUGGUUAUCUCCUACAUCAUGUUCACCUACGACAUCCCGCUGCCUGUCAUUGCUUCUGGACUGGCUCUGGCCGGGAUGAACUUCGUAGGUGAGAUGCUGCGUCGCUCAGGAGCAUUCUACAUCCGUAGGGACAUCGCGUCUAACAGGCUGUACUGUGCAGUGCUGUCGGAGUACGUCAAAAGCCUCAUCAGAACAGGAUUUGCUCCAGUGGAGUUUUACAUCGAAGGCUACAGGAGUCGCUCUCUGAAAUCCUUGACACCAAAGCUAGGUAUGAUGCACAUGGUGCUGGAUCCCUUCCUGAAGGGUGAGGUGCCUGACAUCACCUUUGUGCCCAUCAGCAUCAGCUACGACCGGCUUCUAGAAGAAUCUCUGCUGGCUCGGGAACUGCUAGGGAUCCCCAAGCCGAAAGAGAGCACCCUGAGUCUACUGAGGGUCAGCUGGGUCCUGACGGAGGACUACGGUUGCAUGCACGUCAAAUUUGGUCGUCCCAUGUCGGCCACACAGCUGUGUCACGGCAGGACAAUGGAGCCAGAAGUGAAAGAGGAACAAGAGCAAGACAGAGAAGAAACAGCAAAAGACCGAGAAGUUCCUGAGUACCAGGUGUGGGUCAACUGGCUGACUCAUGUGAUGGUUCGCAUGCAAGAGCGGGGCUCCUUCACCAGCCCUUGGUCUCUCAUGGCCUGCCUGCUGCUCCAAGAACCCGUCUCGGUCCUGACAGACAGCGGCCUUGCCUGGCAUGGGCUUGCUGAGAGGACGCUGUGGCUCAAGAGGCUGGCGUUGGAAUUUGGGGCUCGGCUAGACUGGCCUGGACACGUCCCUGACUGGGAAGUGAUGUCAUCCGCUGUGGCUCUACACCACCCCUCUGUCCGCCUCCAGGAGCAGCGGGUCUUUCUGGUUUUGGAGGAGGCAGCAGCAGCCAGCCAGCAGCUAAUCAGCGCUGAGGACGAGGUCAACAAGAUGGCGGCGCCCAUGUUGAUGAUGGCGUCCUACCGCAAUCAGGCGCUGCAUCUGUUUGUACGGCCCGCCCUGUUGGCCACCGCGUUGAAGCUUGCAGGGCGCAGUUGCAGAGAUGAGAUCUUUGCUUCCUUCUGCUUCCUUCAGGAUGUCUUCCGGAGAGAAUUCAUCUUCAUUCCUGACAAAGCCUUGGAGGACUUUGAGGAGGCGUGCUUUCUCCUACAGCAAUGUGGCGCCUUGCAUGUCGUCGACCAACAGGAGGUGACGGCGUUAGAAGAUGGUAUGGAGGUGUUAUCCUUCCUGCGUGGGCUCCUGCAGCCUUUUAUUGACUCAUAUCAGGUCAUGUUGAGCUUCUUGUGUGAGCAGGAUGCUAACGAGAUCACAGAGAAAGACUUCCUCCCUGCAGUGAGGUGUCUGGCCUCAAGGCUCAUCCUAUCAGGUGAUCUCCACACCUAUGAGACCCUCUCGUCGGACAUGCAAAAGAACGUCCUGUCGUCCCUGAGGGGACUGGCGGCUGUGACAAAGUUGAAGGCGUGUGAGCAGAAGAAAUACAGCGUGGACAAAGAAGCAGUGAGAAGGAUCGCAGAUACACUCUCUGGGAAAAUCCGCCCCGAGAUUCUCCAGACUGAACCUGACGCAAGACUUUAGUCCUUGUUGGAAGAUGUCCAACCUCAGUAGCAGACCACAUCCUCGCUCUCACCUCAGCGUGAACCCUUACGCCUUUUGGCUUUGUUCGUCCAUCGCUGCUAGAGCUUCAAAGAUAUGGUCAGAAGAUAUCCAAGUGUUAAUGAUGAACGGUUGUGGAUGGACACACGAUGGACUCUUAGAAGAGGAGUGCCUGGCUACCCUACAGUCGAGGACAUUGAAUAUAUCUACCAAUUCGGAACUUAGAAUAAGCUUUGCCCUGGUGUAUCGACAAAUUGGAGGAUGCUGGCAGCCAUUCAAGGUGCCCUGAAGCUCUCACAUAGGAUGAAAGCAUGCGGGCUGAACUCUGAGCACUCAGACUAUUGUGAUAUUGGAUAAAUUGCAAAUUAGACAAUAUCGGACGCUGUCUGCCCUGCAGGAUGAAUUUGAGGACCAGAAAAGGACAAUUAGAGUGAAAAACUCAAAAUUGUUUUCGCUGGCUGAAACACAACUAUUCUAAUCUUUAUUUUUUUCCCUGGCUGCAAGCGACCUUGUUUCAAGAUUCCCCUCGACAGUGCAGCGAAGACAAACAAAUUCUCCUGGGCUGGGGAUCUUUCUAUGUGGAGUUUGCAUGCACCUGAGGAUAGGUUGAUUGGCAACACUAAAUUGGCCCUAGUAUGUGAAUGUGAGUGUGAAUGUUGUCUGUCUAUCUGUGUUGGUCUUGCGAUGAAGUGGCGACUUGUCCAGGGUGUACCCCGCCUUCCGCCUGUGUGCAGCUGGGAUAGGCUCCAGCACCCCUCUCGGUCCCAUGAGGGACAAGCGGUAGAAAAUGGAUGGAUAGAUAAUGUCAAAUCAGCACAAAAACCUGGGACCUCGGGUACUAAGUUUCGUGCCAUCUCAUGUGGGCUGGUAUAACAACAAUGUUCCUCGAAUCUUGAAUCCAUUUAUCCAUCUUCUACCGCUUGUCCCUUCUGGGGUCGUGGGUGGUGUUGGAGCCUAUAUCAGCCAAAUUCGGGCGGGAGACAGUGUACACGCUGGACAAGUCACCACCUCAUCGCAGGGCUGAAUCUUGAAUCAUUUCAGAUUAUUAGUAGUAUUACUAAAACUACUAGUUCAUGUACAGAGGUAUUUUUUAAAUCUACUGUAUAUAGUAGUGUACCUUAAACGACAACCUGUAUCAGUCUAUUUUUAGCCAAUCGGAAGCCUGAAAAGUCCUCACAGACAAUGAUACCUUUUGUUCAAUAGUUUGUGUAGCUCAAUAAUGUAAUGUAAUGCAAAGAAAACAUCCAAAAUUAUAAAGCAUGCUUGAGACAUUUAUUAGAUUUUAAACUUCUUAACAUACCAAUAAAUGUAAAACAAGCGUAACAAAAUGCACCAUAGAUUUCCUUUUGAUCUUCUUCGCUUUCAACAACAGUGAGUGAGGAGCAGAGGUCAAAGUUCAACUUGCCGUCGCCUCACCGCCAAUCAAACAAGCACACUGCAGUUAAAAGGCCUCUUUGAGCGCCUGGACGGACACAACAUUAGGUACAACUGCACCCAGUCUAAAACAACAAUGGCUGCCUUUACCAAGAUCAUCUCAAUAAUUAUACUCACUUUUAGUCAUUUUUGUGACUUAUUUGACAGCAGAAUAUUUCCCACUAUACAGUAAACGUUGCCUUGGUGGAAGUCCACGCUCCAAUUUAACGACAUUCCGUGUUAAGAAUGUUUAUUAGGGAUUUAGUUUGCGCUAAUUGUUGAAUUGCCCUUUUCUCACAAAUAAGUCCAUUAUUUUCAGUCCAACUUUAACCUUUACAUCUUAAGACCAUAAAUAAUGUUUAAAAAAAAGAGGUGUUUGUGUCAGCUCACUCUUCGACUCUUGUACCGCAGCACACAAAAAUAGUGAAAAUCUUCCCUGCUUGGCACUCAGCAUCAAGGGUUGGAAUUGGGGGUUAAAUCACGAAAGAAUGAUUCCCGGGUGCGGCCACCGCUGCUGCUCACUGCUCCCCUCACUUCCCAGAGUGUGUGAUCAAGGGUGAUGGGUCAAAAACAGAGAAUAAUUUCACCACACCUAGUGUGUGUGUGACAAUCAUGGGUACUUUAACUUUUAAAUUUAACUUUAAAAUGAGUCAAAACAUGCGCCCCUGCUGAGUUGUCUGCGCUAGUACUUUUCGGACAAUUACGCCACACUUUUAUGAAAGACCCAUACUUGAACAUUCUGACCUCUUCAAGAACACACCACUUUGUGGUGUUUAGCCGGAUCACGUUAUUUGGUACGCACAUUUUAGGGGAUUCACAAGGAACACUGUGUCUAAUAGGAGCUAUGCAUCUUAGUCACUAAACGUCCAGAAGUCAUUGAGUGUUUGUCUGAUGUCGAUAACAAUUUUGAGGAUGUUUGCUCGCGUGUAUUCCCACGUUUUUUUUUUUGUUACCAGCAACCCAUAGGGGGAGCCAAAAUCAAAAAAGUAUGUUACCUUGGAGUUCAGUAUUUAUGCUGAUGCGGUACUGAGGUGGGGUUUGUAGCUUUAGGCAACGCGAUGUCUCAUCACUGCUGGGUCGCUUGUGCUUUUGUAACCUUUAACCUUAGGUGAAGAAAGUGCAACCCGUUACCUUGAGUCCAAAAAUGAGCCCCAUGGAGUAGAGAAGUACAGAACCCAAAACCAGUGAAGUUGGGACAUUGUGUAAAUCGUAAAUAAAAACAGAAUACAAUGAUUUGCAAAUCCUUUUCAACUUAUAUUCAAUUGAAUAGACUGCAAAGACAAGAUACUUAACCUUCGAAGCGGAAAACUUUGUUAUUUUUUGCAAGUAUUAGCUCAUUUGGAAUUUGAUGCCUGCAACAUGUUUCGUGGCAAAAAAGACAGAGAAAGUUGAGGAAUGCUCAUCAAACGCUUAUUUGGAACAUCCCACAGGUGAACAGGCUAAUUGGGAACAGAUGGGUGUCAUGAUUGGGUAUAAAAGCAGCUUCCAUGAAAUGCUCAGUUAUUCACAAACAAGGAUGGGGUGAGGGUCACCACUUUGUGAACAAAUGCGUGAGCAAAUAGUCAGUUUAAGACCAACAUUUCUCAAUGAGCUAAUGCAAAGAAUUUAGGGAUUUGACCAUCUACGGUCCGUAAUAUCAUCAAAAGGUUCCGAGAAUCCGUAAAAAAUCAAUGCACAUCCUUCAGGCAGUACUGCAUCAAAAAGCGACAUCAGCCUGUAAAGGAUAUCACCACAUGGACUCAGGAACACUUCAGAAAACCACUGUCAAUGUCCUUUGUGUUCUUUGGGAUGUGUGCUAUGGUUAUGAGUUGUUUUUUCCCUUGGCCUCAGUCUGGACCCCCUGUUUACCUGUAUCUCACCUUCUUUGUAAAGGGCGCCGGAAGUUGGCAGACCCGUCAGCGAUCCUGUUCUGUCUCCCUGUAAUGUUUGUCUGAUCUUGAAUGGAAUUGUGCUGAACAUUUUGUAUUUAUAAAGUAUUUCUGAUUCUGA